AUUACUAUCUGAUUGGCUGGGCUGAGCACUGCAGCACAGCCACAAAAAGCAAGUGCCUCAGAUAAAUGAGCUUCAAAGGGGAAAAAUGAUGCAACACCACAGAACAGAGCAGUGAGUCCACUUGGGAAGUUCCUCACCACUGGAAAAUGGAUGUGAACACAUGUGGAUGAAGAGAUCACUUGUGGUGACCUGUGAAUGACCUGAUCAGGUGGUCUGCCAGAGUAUUUUGAACUCUCAGAAGGUCUUGGGAAUGUGGCAUGAAGGACUGAAACCAUUGGGACUGCUGUGAGAGCAACAGCUUUCUUUUUGUUGCUGGUAUAUAGCUCUCCAGAGACUUAAGGGUCUCCCUUGAAUCCUUAAGACUAUGAAGCCUCUCAUUGGUCUUAUUGGAAAAGAGCAAGGGACCGUCAAAUGGGAGGGCUUGGAUGGUUUGUUGCUCCUCUGGGGGAAGACCUGAUGACUGCAGCCAAGAUGAACAUCACAUAAUGAUGGCGAAAGCCAUAGCUCGAGCCACAGAGUCCGCUGCAUUCAGGCUUGCUUGCAAUGAUGUUUUGGAAAUUAAUUUCCCCAUCUCCUCCAUAGCACUGAACUCCUGCUCAUCAGAGGGCUUGUCUUUGAACAUCACGAUACUAUCCUGCAGGCUGAAAUCGUAGAGACCCGGCAGAGCCUCUGGGUUCAGGAUCCUCAACUAUAAAAUUCCUCUGGAAUAAAGCUUUCCGCUUUAUCAAAUGGGUCCCCCUUGUUUGUUUACACAGACCAUUGCUGCCAUUUUCUAUGAAUACCAACAAAUUUUGCCCCUUGAUAUGCGGAAGGAACUCCACCCAAGCUAAACAGAUGGUUCAAUGCUCCCUUGAUAUUUAUAUGGAGACACAGAUCCUGAGGCAACCAAGGUCUAGCUUUUUUGCUUCUUUUCUUUUCAGGGUAGAGUCCUGGUAUCUCCGCCUCUCUUUCUGUUAGCAGCAGCAACUACCAGGGACCCUGGAUGAGGUUGGUUAUAGAAGCGCUCAAAUCCCUUUUCCAUCCUUUUAGCAGUGGGAGGCAGGGAAGAUGAGGUUCGCCAUAAAACCUUGACAGGUUCCAGCUUAGCCUCAUUAAUAGGGACAGCUACCCUAAACAGUCCUGCAGAGGCUAAAAUGUCCAUGGGCCUGAAUGACCUUUGCUGCACCUCAUAUGGGUGGAAAUACAGAGCUACAGCCACCCCCUCAACAAGUCUUGAUGAGCUACUUGCUGUCUGGUCACCCUACAUGCGCCUCUCACAGAUACCACUCA